AUUCCGUCCAGUUCUCUGCUCCAUGCAUGUUUUCUCCAUGACUCCAGUUGUUCCAGCUAUUUCUGCAUGAGUUCUACAACGCCUGGGCAUGCUCCUGAUGAGACAGUGGAUGUUCUCCUGAGGGAUUUCUUCCCAGCCCUGGAUUAGAGCAUCAGUUAGCUCCUGAACAGUCUGAAGUGCAACGUGACGUUGGUGGAUCGACCAAAACAUGAUGUCCCGGAUGUGCUCGAUUGGAUUCAGGUCUGGGGAAUAGGUAGGCCAGUCCAUAACAUCAAUGCCCUCAUCAUGCAGGAACUGCUGACACACUUCAGCCACCUGAGGCCUAGCAUUGUCCUGCAUAAGAAGGAACCCAGGACCCACUGCACCAGCAUAUGGUCUCACAAUGAGUCUGAGGAUCUCAUCCAAGUACCUUAUGGCAGUCAGGUCACGUCUGGCGAGCACAUGGAGGGCUGUGCGGCCAUCCAAAGAAAUGCCUCCCCACACCAUUACUGACCCACCACCAAACCGGUCAUGCUGGAGGAUGUUGCAGGCAGCAGAUCACUCUCCAUGGUGACUCCAGACUCUGUCACGUCUGUCACAUGUGCUCAGUGUGAACCUGCUUUCAUCCAUGAAGAGCACCAAUGACGAAUCUGCCAAUUUUGGUGUUUGCUACCAAACGCCAAUCGUCCUCCACGGUGUUCAGCUGUAAGCAUAGGCAUUAAUGUGGAUGUCGGGCCUUCAUACCACCCUCUUGGAGUCUGUUUCUGACAGUUUGAAUAGAAACAUGCACAUCAGUGACCUGCUGGAGGUGAUUCUGUAGGGCCCUGGCAGUGGACCUCCUGUUCUCCUUGUACUAUUCUCUGCUGGCUUCCUGCUUCCAUGCUGCAAACUGCCUCCAGUGGUUUGUGUUUCCUCCUAUAUGUAAAUCUACACCUGGUAGGGGAGAUUGUGAUAGAGAUAUCAGGAUCAUUCACACAAGCUUAAGCAUAAGAACAUACCUAUGCAUACAUUAUUGGACAUGUGUGCAACUUAUACAUAAUUCAUCAGUUGACAUCUUAUUAGCUACUGUGCAAAAACAAACACAUAAAUCAGAGUAAUUUCAUGGUGCAGUGACCUCUGGUGAUAACCUCCUUAAUAAUCACACAUUUUCCAAGCAUAAAUAAAGAAUGAUGUAUAUGUUUUAUUUUUAAAAAGAAAA